rnacentral:lncRNA from 1 species
GUUGGUGGUGGCAAUGACCCCUGGACAGCCUGGAAUGCUCCCAAACCUGGGAACUGGGACAGCUCCGAUGCCUGGGGCUCCAGGACAGACGGAACUAGCGCUCAGAGGAACAGCAGCGCCAACAACUGGGACACGGGCUUUGGCCACCCACAGGCCUACCAAGGACCAGCAACUGGUGAUGAUGACGAAUGGGAUGAAGACUGGGACGACCCCAAGUCCUCCUCACCUUACUUCAAGGAUUCAGAACCAGCUGAAGCAGGGGGCAUCCAGCGGGGAAACAGUCGUGCGGGUGCCUCCUCCAUGAAGCUGCCCCUUAACAAAUUUCCUGGAUUUGCAAAACCUGGCAUGGAGCAGUACUUGUUGGCCAAGCAGCUAGCAAAACCCAAAGAGAAAAUCGCCAUCAUCGUUGGAGAUUAUGGCCCUAUGUGGGUUUAUCCUACCUCUACG